GUAGGGAAUCUUGCGCAAUGGGCGAAAGCCUGACGCAGCCAUGCCGCGUGAAUGAUGAAGGUCUUAGGAUUGUAAAAUUCUUUCACCGGGGACGAUAAUGACGGUACCCGGAGAAGAAGCCCCGGCUAACUUCGUGCCAGCAGCCGCGGUAAUACGAAGGGGGCUAGCGUUGCUCGGAAUUACUGGGCGUAAAGGGAGCGUAGGCGGAUAGUUUAGUCAGAGGUGAAAGCCCAGGGCUCAACCUUGGAAUUGCCUUUGAUACUGGCUAUCUUGAGUAUGGAAGAUGUAUGUGGAACUCCGAGUGUAGAGGUGAAAUUCGUAGAUAUUCGGAAGAACACCAGUGGCGAAGGCGACAUACUGGUCCAUUACUGACGCUGAGGCUCGAAAGCGUGGGGAGCAAACAGGAUUAGAUACCCCAGUAGUCC
rnacentral:rRNA from 1 species